UACGGAGGGUGCGAGCGUUGUCCGGAAUCACUGGGCGUAAAGGGCGCGUAGGCGGCCUGAUAAGUAGGGGGUGAAAUCCUGCGGCUUAACCGCAGGGCUGCCUUCUAAACUGUCGGGCUCGAGCACAGUAGAGGCAGGUGGAAUUCCCGGUGUAGCGGUGGAAUGCGUAGAGAUCGGGAAGAACAUCGGUGGCGAAGGCGGCCUGCUGGGCUGUUGCUGACGCUGAGGCGCGACAGCGUGGGGAGCGAACAGG
rnacentral:rRNA from 1 species